AGUCAAGCUGGUGUGCAGUUCUACCACGACGUCAUCGAUGAGCUCCUAAGAAAUGGUAUAGUUCCUUUUGUGACCGUUUUUCACUGGGACACUCCACAAGAUUUAGAAGAUGAAUACGGCGGCUUUUUAAGUGAGAGGAUUGUGAAAGACUUCCGGGAGUAUGCAGAUUUUGUUUUCCAAGAAUAUGGUGAUAAAGUGAAACAUUGGAUCACUUUCAACGAGCCAUGGGUUUUCGCUCACGCCGGUUAUGACGUAGGCAAGAAGGCACCAGGACGUUGUUCUGACUACGUAGAUCGUACGUGCAAAGGGGGACGAUCCGGAUACGAGGUUUACCUAGUCAGUCAUAACCUUCUUAACGCUCACGCAGAAGCCUUUGAAGCUUUCACACAAUGUGAAAAGUGUAAAGGUGGAAAGGUCGGAAUCGCACAUAGUCCAGCUUGGUUCGAACCACAUGACUUUCAGGAUUCACAAGAUGGUGCAUCCAUAGGCCGUGCACUUGACUUUAUGUUG